rnacentral:rRNA from 1 species
AGCGAACGCUGGCGGCAGGCCUAACACAUGCAAGUCGAACGAACCUUUCGGGGUUAGUGGCGGACGGGUGAGUAACACGUGGGAACGUGCCUUUAGGUUCGGAAUAACUCAGGGAAACUUGUGCUAAUACCGAAUGUGCCCUUCGGGGGAAAGAUUAAUCGCCUUUAGAGCGGCCCGCGUCUGAUUAGCUAGUUGGUUGAGGUAAUGGCUCACCAAGGCGACGAUCAGUAGCUGGUCUGAGAGGAUGAUCAGCCACAUUGGGACUGAGGCACGGCCCAAACUCCUACGGGAUGCAGCAGUGGGGAAUCUUGCGCAAUGGGCGAAAGCCUGACGCAGCCAUGCCGCGUGAAUGAUGAAGGUCUUAGGAUUGUAAAAUUCUUUCACCGGGGACGAUAAUGACGGUACCCGGAGAAGAAGCCCCGGCUAACUUCGUG